AUCCAGCCGACAAGUCCCAAACAGGACGAAAUGCGUGUUCUGGAU
rnacentral:hammerhead_ribozyme from 1 species